UUACGUGCCUGUGCGAAAAGUUUGCUGUUUGAUUUUUAUAAGCUUAAUUAUAUGUUUAUGAUAUAUAUAUGUGCAUGGAUCUAAUGGCGACAUCCAACUACUGUGCGGUUUUGUUUUAAUAUUGUGUGCAAAUGUAGAGUGGAUAUACCAGAAGAGAAUUCCCCACACGUCUUGGGUAUACUCACAAAACACACGCCAUUUUGACUGGGACAAAACUGGAUUGUGACGUGCAUACGAACAGAGAAACAGAAAUAACAAGGAAUCAGGAAGGAAAAUGUAAAUAACUAGUUCUUGAGAGAAGGAUCUACAUACUGUAACACUUCAGCAAUCGGUGCUUUAUGGUAUGGUUGUCAGAUCCAUGAAACAAAAUAAAUCAGCUAUUAACAGUGUAGCUGCUGCCUAAGGCGUGGCAGUCAUCUUUGCGGCGGUGCAAGAAGGAUCUCCUCGGGAGUGGUUGAUCACUUAUAGACGAGGUACUAGACAGUGUCACAGACUGGCUGCCAGGCUACCAGGACAAAAUGAACAAAUCUAGGUUCAUAUUGGUGAGUACUCCAUGAAUGGUGGAUAUCAAAUAUCACGUGUUAGUGAAACCGUACAUUUGAUUUACCGAAGUCUAGUCAAUGCCGUAAAUGGUCAAGGAACGAACAGGCGUGACGUAAGAAGACUGAACGGUAUCCAAUAGCGACACUGACGUCAUGCUCAAGGGGGCGUCAUCAAUGAGUUACGACCCCAUCGUUUAACGUCAAACCCCAACUUUGAUAUAGUGUAGGACACUGCCAUACCACAGUCUGUUUUAUAUAAAGAAAUUUCGUCAUA